rnacentral:lncRNA from 1 species
GAUUAUAAUUUGUUUAUUAUUAGAAAUUUCCAGUUGAUUGACUUAAUCUUUUGAAAAAGAAGUGGCUCAGGGACUUUCCCAAGCUUUUCCUUGGGUGAGCAGUGAUUAGUUCUGGGGUCAAGUUCCUUUGCCCAUGGCUUGGGAGCUGACCUGACUUUGGAGGGGUGGAAUUGGGACCAACGGGGGUCAGUCAGAGGCUGCUACUCUAGAAAACCUGCCUAGUGCUAUCAGUGUGGGGGUUAGCCUGGCCUGCUUCAAGCCCUUCCACCUGUGAGUAGGCACUUGUUGGAGCUCACAUCCAUUCCGUACUUUCUUUUUCUAGCCCUCUCUCUCACAGAAGCUUGAGAAGAAGACAUUGCACAGCCUGAAAAGCCCACAUCUGCAGUGGAGGUGCUGGGAGCCCGCUAGUGAGGCAGCUUUAAUUAAAGGUGCAGUCAACCUUCUGGAAAAGAAGAGGAGGCUGAAAGAUGGUUU